rnacentral:rRNA from 1 species
UACGGGGGGGGCAAGCGUUGUUCGGAAUUACUGGGCGUAAAGGGCCAGUAGGCGGCCAACUAAGUCGGAUGUGAAAUCCCCAGGCUUAACCUGGGAACUGCAUCCGAUACUGGAUGGCUUGAAUUCGGGAGAGGGAUGCAGAAUUCCAGGUGUAGCGGUGAAAUGCGUAGAUAUCGUCAAGAACACCGAUAGCGAAGGCAGCUUACUGGGCUGUAACUGACGCUGAUGCACGAAAGUGUGGGGAUCAAACAGG